rnacentral:rRNA from 1 species
AUUGAACGCUGGCGGAAUGCUUUACACAUGCAAGUCGAGCGGCAGCGCGGGGGCAACCCUGGCGGCGAGCGGCGAACGGGUGAGUAACAUAUCGGAACGUACCCUGUCGUGGGGGAUAACUAUCCGAAAGGAUAGCUAAUACCGCAUACGACCUGAGGGUGAAAGCGGGGGACCGCAAGGCCUCGCGCGAUAGGAGCGGCCGAUAUCGGAUUAGCUAGUUGGUGAGGUAAAGGCUCACCAAGGCGACGAUCCGUAGCGGGUCUGAGAGGACGACCCGCCACACUGGAACUGAGACACGGUCCAGACUCCUACGGGAGGCAGCAGUGGGGAAUUUUGGACAAUGGGGGCAACCCUGAUCCAGCCAUUCCGCGUGAGUGAAGAAGGCCUCGGUUGUAAGACUCUUCUAGCAGACGAAACGGUAGAGGUUAAGUACCUUUACUAACUAG